rnacentral:rRNA from 1 species
UACGGGGGGGGCAAGCGUUGUUCGGAAUUACUGGGCGUAAAGGGCUCGUAGGCGGCCAACUAAGUCAGACGUGAAAUCCCUCAGCUUAACUGGGGAACUGCGUGUGAUACUGGAUGGCUUGGAUUUGGGAGAGGGAUGCGGAAUUCCAGGUGUAGCGGUUAAAUGCGUAGAUAUCUGGAGGAACACCGGUGGCGAAGGCGGCAUCCUGGACCAAUAUUGACGCUGAGGAGCGAAAGCCAGGGGAGCAAACGGG